AGAGUUUGAUCAUGGCUCAGAUUGAACGCUGGCGGCAUGCCUUACACAUGCAAGUCGAACGCGAAAGCGGAGCAAUCCGCAAGUAGAGUGGCGAACGGGUGAGUAAUACAUCGGAACAUAUCCAGUAGCGGGGGAUAACCUGUCGAAAGAUAGGCUAAUACCGCAUACGAUCUACGGAUGAAAGCGGGGGACCGCAAGGCCUCGCACUAUUGGAGUGGCCGAUGUCGGAUUAGCUAGUUGGUGAGGUAAAAGCUUACCAAGGCGACGAUCCGUAGCUGGUCUGAGAGGACGAUCAGCCACACUGGAACUGAGACACGGUCCAGACUCCUACGGGAGGCAGCAGUGGGGAAUUUUGGACAAUGGGGGCAACCCUGAUCCAGCCAUGCCGCGUGAGUGAAGAAGGCCUUCGGGUUGUAAAGCUCUUUCGGUGGGGACGAAACGGUUCGUGACAACACCACGGACUAAUGACGGUACCCGCAUAAGAAGCACCGGCUAACUACGUGCCAGCAGCCGCGGUAAUACGUAGGGUGCAGGCGUUAAUCGGAAUUACUGGGCGUAAAGCGUGCGCAGGCGGUUUGUUAAGACAGGUGUGAAAUCCCCGGGCUUAACCUGGGAAUUGCGCUUGUAACUGGCAGGCUAGAGUGUGGCAGAGGGGGGUGGAAUUCCACGUGUAGCAGUGAAAUGCGUAGAUAUGUGGAGGAACACCGAUGGCGAAGGC
rnacentral:rRNA from 1 species